GAUGAACGCUGGCGGCGCGCCUAACACAUGCAAGUCGAACGAUUAAAGCACCUUCGGGUGUGUAUAAAGUGGCGAACGGCUGAGUAACACGUGGGCAACCUGCCCCUUUCAUUGGGAUAGCCACGGGAAACCGUGGAUAAUACCGAAUACUUCGAGACUUCCGCAUGGAAGACUCGAGAAAGCUCCGGCGGAGAGGGAUGGGCCCGCGGCCUGUUAGCAUGUUGGUGGGGUAACGGCCUACCAAGGCAAUGAUGGGUAGCUGGGUUGAGAGACCGACCAGCCAGAUUGGGACUGAGACACGGCCCAGACUCCUACGGGAGGCAGCAGUGGGGAAUCUUGCACAAUGGGCGAAAGCCUGAUGCAGCGACGCCGCGUGCGGGAUGAAGGCCUUCGGGUUGUAAACCGCUUUCAGCAGGGACGAGGCGAAAGUGACGGUACCUGCAGAAGAAGCCCCGGCUAACUACGUG
rnacentral:rRNA from 1 species